ACACCGUGAUGAGGACAUUGACGUUCUAAAUCCUUAAACCUUUCCCAUGCCUCAUAUAAAGACUCCCCAGCGUAUUGUGCAAAACCAGUUAUGUGAUUUCCUAGUUU
rfam:Beta vulgaris subsp. vulgaris Bvchr8.sca007.con0024.1, whole genome shotgun sequence.